UACGUAGGGACCAAGCGUUGUCCGGAAUCAUUGGGCGUAAAGAGCGUGUAGGCGGCUUGUUAAGUCUUGCGUGAAAUCUCGGGGCUCAACCCCGAGCGGUCGUGAGAAACUGGCAGGCUAGAGUGCGGGAGAGGAGAGUGGAAUUCCUGGUGUAGCGGUGAAAUGCGCAGAUAUCAGGAAGAACACCCCGUGGCGAAGGCGGCUCUCUGGAACGCAACUGACGCUGAGACGCGAAAGCGUGGGGAGCGAACAGG
rnacentral:rRNA from 1 species